UGUCUGACCCCUGAUUCCUCAUUUCUUCCUGUGUGCCGAGAUGCCUUUGGCAGACCUAGGGGGAGCUUCUCCCCACUCUAUGGGGAAAGGAGCACCAGCUCCUUCCUCCUCUGGGUCCCCUCAAGGAGGCCAAAAUGCCCAUCAUGACCCUGAUAUUUUUCUCCCCACUCCUCUGGAACCUCACUUCCUCAUCCCAGGUGGUACCUGGGUUUCUAAUGCCCCAAACAUUCAUAAAUUUAACACAUAUUUAUUGAGAACGUACUGUAUACUAGCCCCUUGUUAGGUACUGUGACUACAGCAGCCAGCAAGACAGUCUGGGACCCAGGCCUGCUCAUACAUUCACUCUUUCCUCUUCACUAGGGUCUGGGAGAGAGCUUUGGGAUCGAGACUCAGCCCAAGGGCAGCAGGGAGCCAAGGGGCUGGGGCUGCCCGUGGGGAGUGUGUGAAUCAAAGGAGCAGACCGCAGCUGGAGCCACCUCGCCUGGAUUCCUGAACGCAGACUCUUGACAGACCGAUUGUGUAACGGCAUUCCUCCCAAGGAAACACGCCUGCCCCCUCCAAGAAGGAUGGAGGCAGAAGAGGUGCUGAGUCUGGAACCCAUGGCUGCUGCGGACGAGGAGCUGGGUGAUGCUUGCCUGGGCACCGUAUCGCUCUCAUCCUGUUUUCUCGCCUGUGAAAUGGGAAUGGCGCUCAUGCUUCUCUGUGGGAUGCUGGGAAAGGAACAUGAGGGCGUCCAUGGAAGUGUUUGAGGCAUGCCUGCUCCAGGGGGAAGCUCCAGAAAUGACACCUAUGAUCUCCCAGCUGUGUUCCCUUUAAGUUAACAAACACUCGUCUGGUCUGGGGCUGGGGUACAGCGAUGAGGAUGACCUGGUCCGAGCCCCAGGAAUGUGGGCCGUAGGAAGGGCAUGGGCAUGAAAGACGUGCUCAGGGGACCCCUUCCAGGUGUCACCAAAGAGCCCUGGGUUGUGGUG